UUAGGGUAUGGGUUAGGGUAUGGGUUAGGGUAUGGGUUAGGGUGUGGUUUAGGGUGUGGAUUAGGGUGUGGGUUAGGGUGUGGGUUAGGGUGUGGGUUAGGGUGUGGGUUAGGGUGUGGGUUAGGGUGUGGGUUAGGGUGUGGUUUAGGGUGUGGGUUAGAGUGUGGGUUAGGGUGUGGGUUAGGGUGUGGGUUAGGGUGUAGGUUAGGGUGUGGGUUAGGGUGUGGGUUAGAGUGUGGGUUAAGGCGUGGGUUUAGUGUUUUAGGGUUAG